GACGAACGCUGGCGGCGUGCCUAAUACAUGCAAGUCGAACGCAGUGGGGACGGUUGAGUAACACGUGGGUAACCUCCCAUCAGAGGGGAUAACACUUGGAAACUGGUGCUAAACCGAUACUGAUGGAUGAACCCGCGGUGCAUUAGCUAGUUGGGGAGGUAACGGCUCACCAAGGCCACGAUGCAUAGCCGACCUGAGAGGAUGAUCGGCCACACUGGGACUGAGACACGGCCCAGACUCCUACGGGAGGCAGCAGUAGGGAAUCUUCGGCAAUGGGGGAAAGUCUGACGGAGCAACGCCGCGUGAGUGAAGAAGGUUUUCGGGUCGUAAAGUUCUGUUGUUAGAGAAGCGUUAUCUAACCAGGAAGCAACGGCUAACUACGUGCCAGCAGCCGCGGUAAUUC
rnacentral:rRNA from 1 species